CCUAGGUUUGGGGCGUGCUAUACAUGCAAGUCGAACGCUUUGUGGUCCAACUGAUUUGAAGAGCUUGCUCAGAUAUGACGAUGGACAUUGCAAAGAGUGGCGAACGGGUGAGUAACACGUGGGAAACCUACCUCUUAGCAGGGGAUAACACUUGGAAACAAGUGCUAAUACCGUAUAACACUAAUAACCGCAUGGUUAUUAGUUAAAAGAUGGUCUUGCUAUCACUAAGAGAUGGUCCCGCGGUGUAUUAGCUAGUUGGUAAGGUAAUGGCUUACCAAGGCAAUGAUACAUAGCCGAGUUGAGAGACUGAUCGGCCACAAUGGGACUGAGACACGGCCCAUACUCCUACGGGAGGCAGCAGUAGGGAAUCUUCCACAAUGGACGAAAGUCUGAUGGAGCAACGCCGCGUGUGUGAUGAAGGGUUUCGGCUCGUAAAACACUGUUGUAAGAGAAGAAUGACAUUGAGAGUAACUGUUCAGUGUGUGACGGUAUCUUACCAGAAAGGAACGGCUAAAUACGUGCCAGCAGCCGCGGUAAUACGUAUGUUCCAAGCGUUAUCCGGAUUUAUUGGGCGUAAAGCGAGCGCAGACGGUUAUUUAAGUCCGAAGUGAAAGCCCACAGCUUAACUGUGGAAGUGCUUUGGAAACUGGAUAACUUGAGUGCAGUAGAGGAGAGUGGAACUCCAUGUGUAGCGGUGAAAUGCGUAGAUAUAUGGAAGAACACCAGUGGCGAAGGCGGCUCUCUGGACUGUAACUGACGUUGAGGCUCGAAAGUGUGGGUAGCAAACAGGAUUAGAUACCCUGGUAGUCCACACCGUAAACGAUGAGUGCUAGAUGUUUGAGGGUUUCCGCCCUUAAGUGUCGCAGCUAACGCAUUAAGCACUCCGCCUGGGGAGUACGACCG
rnacentral:rRNA from 1 species